rnacentral:rRNA from 1 species
GUGGCUACAACGUGCUACAAUGGGCGGUACAAAGGGUCGCGAACCCGCGAGGGGGAGCCAAUCCCAAAAAGCCGCUCUCAGUUCGGAUUGCAGGCUGCAACUCGCCUGCAUGAAGCCGGAAUCGCUAGUAAUCGCGGAUCAGCAUGCCGCGGUGAAUACGUUCCCGGGCCUU